rnacentral:rRNA from 1 species
CCUACGGGAGGCAGCAGUGAGGAAUAUUGGUCAAUGGGCGCGAGCCUGAACCAGCCAAGUCGCGUGAGGGAAGACGGUCCUCUGGAUUGUAAACCUCUUUUGUCGGGGAGCACAAUACGCCACGCGUGUCGUUCCGAGCGUACCCUACGAAAAAGCAUCGGCUAACUCCGUGCCAGCCGCCGCGGUAAUACGGAGGAUGCGAGCGUUAUCCGGAUUUAUUGGGUUUAAAGGGUUCGCAGGCGGAAGAGCAAGUCAGCGGUAAAAUUAAGAGGCUCAACCUCUGCGAGCCGUUGAUACUGGUGGUCUUGAGUGAGCUAGAAGUAUGCGGAAUGCGUGGUGUAGCGGUGAAAUGCAUAGAUAUCACGCAGAACACCGAUUGCGAAGGCAGCAUACCGGCGCGCAACUGACGCUCAUGCACGAAAGUGUGGGGAUCGAACAGGAUUAGAUACCCUAGUAGUC